rnacentral:rRNA from 1 species
UCGGGGAUAAUAAUGACGGUACCCGAGUAAAAAGCCCUGACUAACUUCGUGCCAGCAGUCGCGGUAAAACGGAGAGGGCAAGUGUUAUUCGUAUUGACUGGGUGUAAAGGGUACGUAGGCGGUUAUUUAAGUUAUAAAAAAAAAACUAUAUCUUUUUAUAAUACUAUAUGACUAGAGUUAAAAAGGGGAUGGCGGUACCUCCAGUUUAGAAGUGACAUUCGUUUGAGAUUGGGGGGACCAACAAUAGGCGAUGGCUGCUUUCCAUUUUUAUACUGACGCUGAGGUACGAAAGCAUGGGGAGCGAACAGGAUUAGAGACCCUGGUAGUCCAUGCCCUGACCUAUGAAUAUUAAUCGUCCAUUUAGAUAGUGGAUGACUAAGCUAACGCGAAAAUAUUCCACCUGAGGACUACGGCCGCAAGGUUAAAACUCAAAGAAAUUGGCGGAAGAUCGUUUAAGCGGUGGAGUAUGUGGUUUAAUUCGAUAAUACGCGAAAAACCUUACCAAUCUUUGUGCACAUUUUCGGUUCUACAAAACUUGUAGCCCAAAUUGAGGUGGUCAAUUUGGGCUAGCUAUGUGCCAGGCGUUGCAUGGCUGUCGUAAGCUCGUGUCUUAGGAUGUGUGGUUAACUCCAUGAACGGGCGCAACCCUUGUUCCUAGUUAGAUUAGGAAUGAAAACAGUGAAAACUGCUUUUGAGGAUGAGGAGUAUGUCAAGUCAAUAUGACCUUUAUAGAUUGGGCUACACACGUACUACAACGGUAGCUACAAUGAGAAACAAUGCCGUGAGGCGGAGUAAAUCUCUAAAACCUACCCUAGUUCGGAUUAUUUUUUGAAAUAAAAAUAUGAAGCCGGAAUCGCUAGUAAUCGCAAAAAAGAAUGUUGCGGUGAAUAUUAAGACCGAUCUUAGUACACACCGCCCGUCACGCCAUGGAAGCUUGUUUGGUUUGAAGAUAUUAAGUCACAUGUUUCGAAG